rnacentral:rRNA from 1 species
GAUGAACGCUGGCGGCGUGCCUAAUACAUGCAAGUCGAGCGAACGGACGAGAAGCUUGCUUCUCUGAUGUUAGCGGCGGACGGGUGAGUAACACGUGGAUAACCUACCUAUAAGACUGGGAUAACUUCGGGAAACCGGAGCUAAUACCGGAUAAUAUUUUGAACCGCAUGGUUCAAAAGUGAAAGACGGUCUUGCUGUCACUUAUAGAUGGAUCCGCGCUGCAUUAGCUAGUUGGUAAGGUAACGGCUUACCAAGGCAACGAUGCAUAGCCGACCUGAGAGGGUGGUCGGCCACACGGGAACUGAGACAGGGUCCAGACUCCGACGGGAGGCAGCAGUAGGGAAUCUUCCGCGAUGGGCGAAAGCCUGACGGAGCAACGCCGCGUGAGUGAUGAAGGUCUUCGGAUCGUAAAACUCUGUUAUUAGGGAAGAACAUAUGUGUAAGUAACUGUGCACAUCUUGACGGUACCUAAUCAGAAAGCCACGGCUAACUACGUG